rnacentral:rRNA from 1 species
CCAAUAGCGUAUAUUAAAGUUGUUGCAGUUCAAAAGCUCGUAGUUGAAUUUCGGGAUUAGUACGUUGGUCGUGCCUUCGGUACGUACUGGUGUUACUGAUUCCUACCUUCUGACGAACCAUCAUGUCAUUAAUUUGGUGUGGCGGGGAAUCAGGACUGUUACUUUGAAAAAAUUAGAGUGUUUAAAGCAGGCUCGCGCUUGAAUACAUUAGCAUGGAAUAAUGAAAUAGGACGUUGACCCUAUUUUGUUGGUUUCUAGGAUUGACGUAAUGAUUAAUAGGGAUAGUUGGGGGCAUUAGUAUUCAAUUGUCAGAGGUGAAAUUCUUGGAUUUAUUGAAGACUAACUACUGCGAAAGCAUUUGCCAAGGAUGUUUUCAUUAAUCAAGAACGAAAGUUAGGGGAUCGAAGACGAUCAGAUACCGUCGUAGUCUUAACCAUAAACUAUGCCGACUAGGGAUCGGAUGAUGUUAUUUUUAAUGACUCAUUCGGCGCCUUACG